UCAGCCCCAACCACAGCACCACACUCAGCCCUGCACUCAGCCCCAGUGCGGGCCAGCUCUCAAGGUGACAACACAGAGCGCUAAACGAAGCUCUUUCCUGCCUCGGGAUGGAGGUCCCAGCUGGGGAGGCACUUGGGGGCUAACCUCCGUGUCUUUCUCGGCAGGCAGGGUGCCUUGCAUACAGAAGGUGCUCAAAAAUGCACAUGGGAGGGAGGAAGUCACUCGAUGAAUGGACAAGAGGCUAGGUGGCUGGGCUCACCUGGACGGACCCAGUAGAGUGACCAGCAGGGCCUUGGCACCCAGUGACUCCCAGCCCUGGACCACCCAGAGGCAAGUAAGCUUUCCGAGGUCCCGCACUGAUGCCAACCCCCCACCCUCAGCCCCCAGACCCCCAGCAGAGAAGCGGCCCACUGGACGGGUUGGGUCUCUGCCACCCAGAGGGCCCGCCAAGGGAUCUGGGAACGUUACUCCUCUCCCCACAUGUCCCCUGCCUGCCCUUCCCAACAGCACAGGGUGGGGACCACACUCUCCACCAGGCACUGAAUCCAUGAUUCCUUCCAAGGUGAGGUCCCCGGUUGGAUAAAUGGAAAUGUGGAGAAAGGUCUCCCUUUGUCCUGGAGGUCUGGGGCGCCUGGGUCAGGUCCCUGCAGAGGUGCGGCCAGCCUCCCGCUCCCGAGCAGACGAACCCGCGGCUCACGUUCCCAGGACGGCGACACUUGCUUUGCACAGGUAGGCGCCAAGGGGUGAAGCCGCCGUUGAGCCGCGCCCUCCCUGCACCGCCUUCACGCCAGCCCAAGUCACCCAGAAAGAGAAGGACACCUCUUGCCACACACAGGUCCUGUGGCUCAAACCCAGGUCCUGCCACCAGAGGAGCAACCAAGGUCCCAUGCCACAUCUCAUCCUAUCUCCUGGCCUGACGUCCCCCCCCCACCCCACCCCCAGCCUCUGGCUCUGGCCAGAUGUCCAAUCCGAGGAAACGCCCUGAGAAGGUCAACCUGACCCCACAGGCAGUGCCGUCCCCCACCCCAAAGCCUCCUGGUCCUCCAGAAACCAGGCGUGGCCUAAAGCCUCAUCACCACCUAGCUCAGUGCAGGGAGCCCCUGCCUUGCCCUGGUCACAGGGGAUCAAUCAGCCCAGAGUGACCCCGCGUGCUGGCACGAAAUCCCAAAACGACGUACGCGCCUGCGAACAGGUUCUCCUUUCUGGGGCUCUCGCGAAGCAGCCAGGGAGGCCGUGCUGGGGAGGCAGGCGGAGCACAGGACCGGCCUGCAACCCCGCGUGUCAUCUGACUCAGCACUUCUGUGAUCAAAAGCUCCUUCCGACAGCCCCUCUGCCCGGGCCCAGACCCCCCAGUCCGGAUCAUCACCCCUGGUCCAGCCACAGCUGAGCCUCUGCGCACCCCCCACACACACCGGGCAGUGUGGGGGGCGGGAUGCAGAGGGCCCGGUGCAGCGCGAGGACGUGGCGUGUGGCCUAAAGACGGUUUAUAACACGACCACGUGCGCUCACGGCACUUGGAAAGAGCAGCUCUUCCUGCACAGGAAAACAGGAGUACCCUGAAAAACGAGUUCUGCGGAAAUUCAAAACUAUCUUAUGAAGUCCCGCACCUGAACCUUGAAGACUCCCCAGCAGAUGAGAGGACCAGGCCCUAAAUACAGGCUGCUCUGGGCCGGAGCAUUUCCCACCUGCUUGGGCCCAAAGGUUACUGUGUGAGGCCCGACCCUCCUUCCUGGCCAGCUGCGGCCAGCAGGUGUGUUGCUGCCCCGUGAUCGCAGUCAACAUUCUCCCACUUUCCCUCCGACCUGGAGAAGAGGGCCGCGCGCACGGCAUUCACUUCCACCUGUGACAAAACGCCGGGCUCUCUCGGGGUGGGGGGGCUCCCCCCUUCCUCCCGCGCCACCUCCUCCCGGCCUUUGUUGGGCCAGUUGGGAAGACGACCUGGCCGACCGCGUGGCAGGGGCCGGGGUCCCGGAGCUGGCGGCACAGGCGGUCUGAAGGCGGCUGGAACAGCGUCCCUGCGCACGGGCUGCGGCCCACGCGGGAAAAGCCGCCGGUGCCGGCCAAGCCCUGGGCUUCUGAGCAUUGUUCCCGGCCGAGGCCGGCCCUGGCGCUCGGCCGCAUCAAAGGGGACCGCGCGCAACCCGACACCCUGGCGGGCGCGGGGACAGAGGCCUGGCGGCCCCGGCGGCGCACAAAGGCUGGCCCUGGGAAAUCCGGGCAGUUUCGCCUCAACAGGUUGGAAACCUACGACGGCGGCGCUCGGCUCUGCAGCGCCUGCCCCAGAGACCUGCCGGAGCCCGCGCGGUCACUCCCAGGCCCGGGGGCGCGACCCACUGCGGCCGUGCUGGCGCCGGGAGGGACGAGCCUGGUGACGGUGACACAGGCCCGGCGGGCCGGCGGCUGCUGACCUGCGUCUCCGGAGCCCGUGCGCGUGGACCGGCCGCCACCGCGACCACGGUCCGGGCCCCUCGUUGGCCCUCGGCCGGCAGCGCGGUCCGCCAAGCGCGCCAACCUCCCGGCGGAGUCGCCAAGUUUGGUCAGGACGCCAGGGGCUCGGGGACCGGACGGUCCGCACUGCCCUCGGCCCAGCCCGGUCUCGGCCCCGCGGCGCGCCGCCCAAGAAUGAAUGGCCGACGCAGGACACUCGGGACACACGGCCUCGGCCUGACCCCGUCCCCCUCCGCUCGACCCCCGCCCGCCACCUGCGCGCGUGGGAGGAGCCGGGCGGCCUCCCGGGAACCAAGCCGAGAUGCGCUGGGAGUGAGGCCGCCGCCGCCUGGACCGGCCGGAGACUCGCACGAAGCGCGGAUGGCGGGGGACCAGUCCGGGGAACCAACCUUCGCGUCCCCCCUCCCCCCGCUGCCC